rfam:Loxodonta africana cont3.75130, whole genome shotgun sequence.
UGGGAUCAAAACAAAGACGCAGUGAACUUUUCUCGCAUCUUAUAUGGGAUUACUCAGGAAUCAGAACUUAACCACACAAAUAUAAGAGAUUCUACCAAGGAACCCUUUUACAUAACAGCAUCUCACAAAGCUCCAAUCAGAUCCAGAAGGGCCUCUUGAUACAUCAAGGUAGAACCUA